UACGUAGGGUGCGAGCGUUAAUCGGAAUUACUGGGCGUAAAGCGUGCGCAGGCGGUUUUGUAAGCCAGAUGUGAAAUCCCCGGGCUUAACCUGGGAAUGGCAUUUGGGACUGCAAGGCUUGAGUGCGGCAGAGGAGACUGGAAUUCCCGGUGUAGCGGUGAAAUGCGCAGAUAUCAGGAGGAACACCGGUGGCGAAGGCGGUUCUCUGGGCAUGUUCUGACGCUGAGGAGCGAAAGUGUGGGGAGCGAACAGG
rnacentral:rRNA from 1 species